rnacentral:rRNA from 1 species
UACAGAGGUCUCAAGCGUUGUUCGGAAUCACUGGGCGUAAAGGGUGCGUAGGCUGCGCGUAAAGUCAGAUGUGGAAUCCAUAAGCUUAACUUGUGAAUAGCAUCCGAUACUACCGCGCUGGAGAACUGGAUAGGAGUUUGGAAUUCUCGGUGUAGCAGUGAAAUGCGUAGAUAUCGAGAGGAACACCAACGGCGAAAGCAAAACUCUGGACAGUAUCUGACGCUGAUGCACGAAGGCCAGGGGAGCAAACGGG